UCCCUGGAGGUCCAACAGUUAAGACUCUGCACUUGACUGCAGGGGGCGCAGGUUCGACCCCUGGUCAGGGAA
rnacentral:tRNA from 1 species